AUGUAACACAACAUGUCGGUUUACCAGCAUGCACCGUGUUUUACCGGCAGAAUAAACUUUUCAUGGCAAAAACAACAAAGGUGAGGUGUUUGUGUCCCAAGGAUAUAAUAACACUUCAUCCAUGCCAAGGCAUUUCCAUGCCUUGUGUGAGAAUAAGGAGGGAACUGGAGGUGCACCCAGACAAGCCACCAGAAAACAAGAGCUGUAUGAGGCUUCAUCUCCAUGAUAGGGAAGCAUUUGUGUCCAAACUGGAUCCUACCUAUGUUCUCCCCACAAGGCAGACUGUAGAGGCCAUGGCGGAGGCCAAAUAUGACGCAGCUAAGGAGAAGGCUAAAGUGCAGAAGGUGGCUGCAGUUAGCCUUACGUCUGACAUGUGGACACACAUUAACAUGGAUGCCUACCUGGCUGUUACCUGCCAUAAUUAGGUCGGCUCAAACCCCAGAACUAUCAGAUCAGGCAUCAGUAUCACAGGAUGUUCAACCUGUAACCCAAGGUAACAAACUGUGGCAUCAUCUAGGCAACACUGCCAUGUAAACAAGAGAACACAAGAUUGUAACUGCAGAUGUUACUGUGGAGAUACAGUGUUACCUGUCCGAACUACUGAUGUUACACUCGAGCCAGUUCGCUCGACACAGUGUCGAUCUUUUGAAGCGAAGUGUUCCGAGACAGUUUAUCGAUACCUGAUUCGGCACGUCCACAAUCAGGUCGGCAAGCUGAGUUGGACAAGGCACUGGUUGACAUGGCUGUGCUUGACACUCAACCAUUUAAAGUGGUGGAGGACAAAGGCUUCAGGGCACUCGUACAGAAGCUGGACCCAACCUACAUCUUGCCUAUUCACCAGGCCUUACAAGCUGUGGUGGAGAAAAGGUAUAAGAGGCUGAAGAGAAGGCAAAGCAGGAACUGGAGAAAGCACAUCUGUAAGCUUAACUGCAGACAUGUGGACCUCCAUGAACAUGGAUGCCCAUCUUGGGGUCAAGUGUUUUGCUUGGUGUAGGACAUUUCAUACAGUCCCACACAGCAGAACAUUUGAGGGAUGCCAUGGAGCUGCAGAUAAAUCAGUGGAGCUUGAGAGAGAGAAAGUGCACUGUUUAAUCACAGACAAUGCAUCCAAUAUGAUCCUUUGUGCCAAACUGUUGGCUGUCAGAAAUGUGCCAUGUUUAGCCCACAGUUUCAGUCUUAUUGUGAAGAAGGUACUGGAUCAAACUCCUCCACUGGCUGACAUCAGAACAAGAGGCCGAAGAAUUGUCGCAUUUUUUGGGACAAGCACAAAAGCAAAGAAGAAACUCACAGAGAUGCACACUCAGCUGCAGAAGCCAGUUCACAAACUGAUUCAAGAAGUUGAAACCAGAUGGAACUCCACAUACUUGAUGUUGCAAAGACUAUAUGAACAACGAGAACCAGUUGGUGCAGCAGUGGCACACCUCACCACAGUCUGAAAUACAAGUACAAAGCAAUAUGUGACAGGCAGUCCUAAGGCUUGUUCAGGUCCUCCACUUAGAUGCAGUUCUGAAGUACAGCCAGCAGAUGUCACUCUUUCGACUGUAUGAAAUGCUUCGAAGCAGUGUGUCAUUGAUGAAGCAGUUGUGUCAAAGUGGUUCACUGCUUCAUGAAGCUUCGAUUUCACCAUCACUAGUCCGAACCAAAUAUUGGAAGAUUGCAGGACCCACUGGAGUACUGGGACAGGCAGAAACUGAUAUACCCACAUUUAUACAGCCUUGCUGUAGGCUUUGUGUACACCAGCAUCAUCUGUGCCAUGUGAGGGUGUUUUCGAAGGCUGGAGAAGUUGUAUAAAAAAAAAAAAGAAAUUGCCUAAACCCAAACUAUUGUUUCUUAAUAAGAAUGAAUGGAACCUCGCCUGUACUGUACAUCACUGUGAAAGUUACACAAGCACAUUCACUGUCGUCUGCCUGCUUAAACUAAUGCCAAUUUUCAGAAGUGAUACAGAACACGAAUAUUACCCCUCCUGCCAUUAUUAUAUUAUAUAUCAUGACAAUACACCACAAUUAAAUUUUUCGCCAAAUGAUUAGUUUGCAUUCACAAA